UUUUUUUGUCUGCUGGUCGCCAUUUCUCGUGUACGUCGUCAUUUACCAGUACAGAAGAGAAGACCAUAACAGCGAGAGAAGUAAACAAUGGAUCACCGUUCUCUACUACAUCAGCCACUUCAUGAUGUACCUGGUCCCGGUUAUCAAUCCGCUGUUAUACGCUCUUAUGCACGAAAACUUCCGACGAGCGGCUACCGUCACCUGCCCCUGGCUGCCGAGCAAGGUGAAGUACCAAGCGUUCCGGACGGGCGGCAGCAGCCGGGUGGGCUGGUCUGUGCGCGCCAGCAGCAUGCCCUCGCGCACCACACUCCGCUCCAGCC